UCCAGAGACAAUUUUUAAGCCAACUGGAAGUGGUUGACCAAAAUUUCGGAUUUUUUAUAUAGCGCGCUUUUAUCCUUGUGUCGGAUGUUUGAGGAUCAGAAUGAUCAGGGUGCGUUUGUUUAAGACAGCUGAUGUGUUCAUCGGGGCCAAUCGACGAGCAUGAUGUAAAUAUUCGUUGAAAUUUUAUUGUCGCGUUUGGACAGUUGUUCGUAUAGUUUCGAUUCUAACUUUGGCGACGUCUCGCUGUUAUUUCGAAGACUAUUCAUUCGUUUUAAGUUCUGAAAGGUUUGCGAAUGUUUUGCGAUUUGGACCAGAUACGGCCGUUGACAAGAAUUUAAUGUUUGUAGAGUUCAUAAAAUGCGUAUUGUAGUAAAAGUUUUAAAAAGCUCGA
rnacentral:lncRNA from 1 species